rnacentral:rRNA from 1 species
GAUGAACGCUGGCGGCGUGCCUAAUACAUGCAAGUAGAACGCUGAAGCUUGGUGCUUGCACCGAGCGGAAGAGUUGCGAACGGGUGAGUAACGCGUAGGUAACCUGCCUCUUAGCGGGGGAUAACUAUUGGAAACGAUAGCUAAUACCGCAUAAAAGUCGGCAUUGCAUGAUGUUGACUUGAAAGGUGCAACUGCAUCACUAAGAGAUGGACCUGCGUUGUAUUAGCUAGUUGGUGAGGUAACGGCUCACCAAGGCGACGAUACAUAGCCGACCUGAGAGGGUGAUCGGCCACACUGGGACUGAGACACGGCCCAGACUCCUACGGGAGGCAGCAGUAGGGAAUCUUCGGCAAUGGACGGAAGUCUGACCGAGCAACGCCGCGUGAGUGAAGAAGGUUUUCGGAUCGUAAAGCUCUGUUGUAAGAGAAGAACGAGUGUGAGAGUGGAAAGUUCACACUGUGACGGUAACUUACCAGAAAGGGACGGCUAACUACGUGCCAGCAGCCGCGGUAAUACGUAGGUCCCGAGCGUUAUCCGGAUUUAUUGGGCGUAAAGCGAGCGCAGGCGGUUUAAUAAGUCUGAUGUGAAAGCCCACGGCUCAACCGUGGAGGGUCAUUGGAAACUGUUAAACUUGAGUGCAGGAGAGAAAAGUGGAAUUCCUAGUGUAGCGGUGAAAUGCGUAGAGAUUAGGAGGAACACCAGUGGCGAAGGCGGCUUUUUGGCCUGUAACUGACACUGAGGCGCGAAAGCGUGGGGAGCAAACAGG